AUACGGAGGGUGCAAGCGUUAAUCGGAAUUACUGGGCGUAAAGCGCUCGUAGGCGGCUUGACAAGUCGGAUGUGAAAUCCCGGGGCCCAACCCCGGAACUGCACCCGAUACUGUCAGGCUAGAGUCCCGGAGAGGGUGGCGGAAUUCCCGGUGUAGGGGUGAAAUCCGUAGAUAUCGGGAGGAACACCAGUGGCGAAGGCGGCCACCUGGACGGUGACUGACGCUGAGACUCGAAAGCGUGGGUAGCAAACAGGAUUAGAAACCCCGGUAGUCC
rnacentral:rRNA from 1 species